AAGAAACUCUGGAAAUUUAUUAGCACAUACAGAAAUCUUCAGUGGACCCCUGGCACUGCCACAACCACCAUCUUUUGGUAAGAAAGAAUACAUGAAAAAUAAAAUGCCGUAGACAGUAUCAUGGAUUGACAAAACCUGCAAAAUGUUUGAUUAUUGGUGGGAAUUGAGAAAUUUUGCUGGUGGUCUUACCCAGAAAAAUCCGACAGGAUAUUCUUCGAAGCCGGGAAGAAAAUUCGCUGGCGGCAAACCCUGACCAGAGGUUGCGGAAUAAUUGACCAGGAGUUUUGUGGAAAAAACGUUGCUUUGAUUUUUCAUAGAUGUGUUGAAUUGAUAUUUGAGUGAGCCCUGCAUUGACCGCGAGCAUAACCUGUCCUUGAAAUGAUAAAACCUUAUCUCUGACAAUAUUUUCUCAUCUUUCUUCUGCUGUGAUGUACUUUACAGCACGAUGGCAGUUUGAUAAGGCCACUAGUAUUUGCCAGAUUCUCG
rnacentral:misc_RNA from 1 species